AAAUAAUUUAUUUUCAAGCAUCCCGAUAUGAUUAAUCUUAUUUUAGAGAUGAGAUGAAGGAGGCCAAUAGAAGUUAAGAGAUCUUCCCAAGGUUAUAAACAGACAAACCUGGAAUAGAAGCCAGCCUGGAACUCGAAGCUGCUUCUAACAAAAGGGGUUCACAGCUAAGAGUUUGCUUUUAGUCUCAGAGAAGAUUUUGGACUUAGACUUUUCAGCCAUGUGAAACUGUCACAACUUUGGUGAUGCGAGAUGGACUAAAUGCAUUUUGCAUAAAGAAAUACACACGAGUCUUUUGGGGCUCAGGGAUGGAAUGUUAUGGUUUAGAUCUAAAAUGGCUCCAAAAGUUUCAUGUGUUUGGAAGGUGAUCAGAUUAUGAAGGUACUAUACCUGAUUUGCUCUUAGGAGUUGGGAUCCGGUUGGAAGAGGCCCAUCACUGAGGGUGACCUGGAAGAGCAUAUCUCUACUCCUGGUUCCUCCCUUUUCUCUUUGGUUCCUGGCAGCUGUGACAUGAGCAGCUUUCCUCCACCCAGGCCCUUCUACUGUGCUGUCUUCUGCAUCUGGACCUGCCAACCAUGGACUGAAGCCUCUAAAAGCUGUGAGCCAAAAUAAACCUCUCCUUUAAGUUGUGAGGGUCAAGUAUUGUGUCUCAGCGAUGAGAAAGUACGAUAGGGUGGCCACAUUCAUGUCCUGGAACAUAUAUAUUCAUUAAAAGCAUUGAUUCUCAACCCUGGGUUAUCAUUAGAAUCAUCAGAAGAGAUUCUAAAAAUUUUAAGCCAGAGACUGUCCAUUUCCAAGAUUCUAAUUUAAUCAGUCUGAAUUAGUUUGCAAUUUAUGGGACUCUAGAUAUUCAGGAAAGAUAGAAAACUUGAGUUCUUAUUGCUGCACAAUGUCAACCUGCGUCUUCCUAUGAAACAUACUGCUAGUAAUCUUUUAUAUUAGCAAAAGAUAUUCCAAUUUUCAGUUGGACACAUGGCUACCUGAAAUAAAAACUGUGUCUUUCAAU
ensembl:lncRNA